UACGGAGGAUCCGAGCGUUAUCCGGAUUUAUUGGGUUUAAAGGGAGCGUAGGUGGAUUGUUAAGUCAGUUGUGAAAGUUUGCGGCUCAACCGUAAAAUUGCAGUUGAAACUGGGAGUCUUGAGUACAGUAGAGGUGGGCGGAAUUCGUGGUGUAGCGGUGAAAUGCUUAGAUAUCACGAAGAACUCCGAUUGCGAAGGCAGCUCACUAGACUGUCACUGACACUGAUGCUCGAAAGUGUGGGUAUCAAACAGGAUUAGAUACCCUAGUAGUCCCUACUGACU
rnacentral:rRNA from 1 species